rnacentral:rRNA from 1 species
UACGUAGGGCGCGAGCGUUAAUCGGAAUUACUGGGCGUAAAGCGUGCGCAGGCGGUUCGUUGUGUCGGUGGUGAAAUCCCCGGGCUUAACCUGGGAAUGGCCAUGGAAACUGGCGAACUGGAGUGCGGCAGAGGGGGGUGGAAUUCCGCGUGUAGCAGUGAAAUGCGUAGAGAUGCGGAGGAACACCGAUGGCGAAGGCAGCCCCCUGGGCUAGCACUGACGCUCAGGCACGAAAGCGUGGGGAGCAAACAGG